rnacentral:rRNA from 1 species
GGAAUCUACCGNCAGCNUCGCUGUAAUGUCAUCNAGAUUGGUNACGUUGUAUCAUGGAUCUCAGCACUGNGACGCUCGGCGUGUACAGCCUAACACAUGCAAGUCGAACGGCAGCACAGGAGAGCUUGCUCUCUGGGUGGCGAGUGGCGGACGGGUGAGGAAUACAUCGGAAUCUACUCUGUCGUGGGGGAUAACGUAGGGAAACUUACGCUAAUACCGCAUACGACCUACGGGUGAAAGCAGGGGACCUUCGGGCCUUGCGCGAUUGAAUGAGCCGAUGUCGGAUUAGCUAGUUGGCGGGGUAAAGGCCCACCAAGGCGACGAUCCGUAGCUGGUCUGAGAGGAUGAUCAGCCACACUGGAACUGAGACACGGUCCAGACUCCUACGGGAGGCAGCAGUGGGGAAUAUUGGACAAUGGGCGCAAGCCUGAUCCAGCCAUACCGCGUGGGUGAAGAAGGCCUUCGGGUUGUAAAGCCCUUUUGUGG